rfam:Amycolatopsis australiensis strain DSM 44671 genome assembly, contig: Ga0074771_106
UUCCGCAGCAGCGACUGGCGCCAUCGAGGUGGAGCACCACCGGGAAGCGACGACGAGGCCGGCACCGCGCGCCUGGGUGAAGGCC